ensembl:lncRNA
AGUUUUUCACAGCAGAGAAACUAUUCAGUAUUUACACAUGUGUGUUCUAUUUAUUUUACUUAAGAGUAUGACCUUAAUGUGCAUCCACUUAGCUAUAAAUGUCUCUAGUUUCUCGUUCUUAUGGCUGAGUAGUACUCCAUUUUAUUAAAAAAAAAAAACUUCUUUAUCCAGUCUCCAGUUGAUGGACAAUUAGGCUGUUUCCAAGUUUUAGCUAUUACAAACUGUGCUGCUAUAAACAUGGGUGCACAUAUAUCACUGUAGUAUGAGUCUUUUAAUUCUUUUGGGAAGAUACCCAGCAGAGGGAUAGCUGGGUCAAAUGGGACUUCCAAUCCUAGUUGUUUGAGGUAUCUCCAUAUUGAUUUCCACAGUGGUUGCACCAGUCUGCACUCCUGCCAACAAUGGAGAAGGGUUCCUUUCUCCCCACAACCCCGCCAGCAUUUGUUAUUGGUUGAUUUCUUGAUAGCAGCCAUUCUUCCUGGGGUGAGGUGGAAUCUCAGCAUUGUUUUCAUCUGUAUCUCUUGAAUGACCAGUAAUGUUGAACAUUUUUUCAUAUGUCUAUUUGCUGCUUCUACUUCUUUGUCUGAGAAAUGUCUAUUCAUUUCAGAUGCCCAUUUUUGAAUUGGGUCUUUGAAUUUGGGGGGGUCUGAUUUUUUUCAGUUCUUUAUAUAUUCUAGAUGGUAGACCUUUGUCUGAGGAACAAUUGGUAAAAAUUUUUUCCCCACAUUGUAGGUUGUCUCUUAGCUCUGUUGGUGGUUUCUCUUGCAGUACAUCUUUUUAAUGAGAUCCCAUUUGUUGAUUCUUUGUGCUAGUUCCCAUGCAACUGAGGAUUUGUUCAUAAAGUUAAAAAUUUUAAUUAUUCACUUUAUGUUUCCUUUACCACUUUUCUACAAAAUGGAACCAUACCCUAGAUAAAGGGACAAUUGACAACCCAGGAAGGACUGGAUAGCAUGAGCUUUCAUCAUGCUACUCAGAACACUCACCCCUGCCAGUGCAAAUAAACCUGUGGGAAUUCAGGAUGAUCCUGGAACAGUGUGCUACAGGACCAUGGUAAGGUUUUGGGGUCUCAGAGGAAAACCUAUCUCAUUAGGAUGGAAGAGGAGACUGAUCACCUCCUGGAGUUUACUGAGUAAUCUGACAUAGAUUGAGUCAGAGAAACCCUACAACCUCAAGCGGAAUGUGGGAGUGGCUUGCAGUGAGAAUGGCUCACAAGAGGUGUACUGAAUAAUUGAAACUCAGACAAGGUUGGCUGACACCUACACCCAGGUUGAAAAAAACUGGAAUGGGGAAGUGCAUGUGUCCAUGUGGAUAAAUGAAGUGAAGAAAAACAGGGGAAGUGCCAGAGAGUACCAGAGGAACACUGAUUCAAGGUUACUUGGAGGUACAUUGGCAGCCAGCCAAACUUAAAGUGUAACAAUCUGAGAACAAAAAAAAAAGAGGGAGAGAGAGAAAAGAAAAGAAAACAGGACACUUUAAAAUCCAAAGAACUGCUGCCAAGUUUGUUAUAGAAGCUUUAUAGUAAGUGAGAUGGAGAAAAAAUAUGAAAAGGCUAUGAGAUAUACUUUUGAUAUGGGAGGAUUUUGUAUGAUAAAAGUUUUGUCUUGCUAGAAAGAUAAAAAGAGGGAUAAUGACAAAAUGGGAAAGCUCACAUAUAUCAAGGGAAAGUUUGUGGAAGUAGUUUAUCAAAAGAAAUAUGUGUGGUUGCUUGUUAGUUUGGUGGAACUCAGUUUCUGAAGUGAAAGUGCUUGAAAGAGUGAUUUGUAUUUCAAUACAGUAGAUAUGGGAGGACAAGGCUUGAAAACCAAACCAUUAGAAUGUAUGUUAAAGAAACUUUAAAAGAGGCUAUACAGGGUACUAUGGAGUAAAGUUUACCCUCCAGAGGUUGAAAACUCUUUGUGAAAAAGAUUGGCCCUCUUUUGAUGUAGGGUGGUUGGCCAAGGGGACAACUGACAGGGGGACAAUUGGGCAUGUACAUAGAGUGAUAACUGAGGAUGGAGAAUGGCCAGAGCACCCAGAUCAGUUUCCCUGCAUCAAGUGAUGGUUAAAUAUAGUCCCGGCAUGGCCCAUCGGGUUACAGCCCUACCUGGAGACAUAUUGUAAAAUGUUUCUAGCCUGAGCCAUGCCUCAGACAAAAGGAAAAGAGGAAUCAGCCUUACUGGGAAGCUCAGCAACAAAAGAAAGACAGCAAAAGGGGCAAGAGAAACAGGUUUUGCAAGAGCUGCCAAAUGAGUCAGAGACUGCAGGAGACCAGCUUGAAACUGUGCUGGGGAGGCUAUAAAAUAUUAUUGAAUUGGCUUAUGAAUUAGCUAUUAAUUAAAUUGUGUCUGUCCUAGGCCUACAUGACUUGCAAAUGAGCCUUUGGCUGGCCUACAGAAACAGAACUCCUGAUGCCAGUGGUCACAAUUGAGAUCUCAGUGGUCAGUGAUAUUGUGGCACCUCUGAUAGCAACAUGACACUGCAGCUGGAGACUUUUUGACUCUUUGCAGCCAUUUUCCUCAAACAAAUGUUAGCUAUAAAAACUCAGGUUACUCAUUAAUAAUGACCUGUCUUUCACACGAACACAUUGUUCCUCCCUUUUACAUACCUGGCUUGCAUCAGUGCCUUACCCUCUACUGUUCCCUGCAUUUGCCUUUAUACUCUGUGCAGUGUUGUGUGAUCAAUAAAUACUGGCAAGUCUGGAGCCUUGUGAUUUUAGCUUUGCAGAGCUCUGAUGGUCCCAGACCCCUGUUUAUACAAA